AUUGAACGCUGGCGGAAUGCUUUACACAUGCAAGUCGAACGCCGUAGCAAUACGGAGUGGCAGACGGGUGAGUAACACGUGGGAACCUUCCCUAUGGUACGGAAUAGCCCAGGGAAACUUGGAGUAAUACCGUAUAAGCCCGAAAGGGGAAAGAUUUAUCGCCAUUGGAUGGGCCCGCGUAGGAUUAGCUAGUUGGUGAGGUAAUGGCUCACCAAGGCGACGAUCCUUAGCUGGUCUGAGAGGACGAUCAGCCACACUGGGACUGAGACACGGCCCAGACUCCUACGGGAGGCAGCAGUGGGGAAUAUUGGACAAUGGGCGCAAGCCUGAUCCAGCCAUGCCGCGUGAGUGACGAAGGCCUUAGGGUUGUAAAGCUCUUUUGGCGGGGACGAUAAUGACGGUACCCGCAGAAUAAGCCCCGGCUAACUUCGUGCCAGCCGCCGCAGUAAGAC
rnacentral:rRNA from 1 species